GACGAACGCUGGCGGCGUGCUUAACACAUGCAAGUCGAACGGAAAGGCCCUGCUUUUGUGGGGUGCUCGAGUGGCGAACGGGUGAGUAACACGUGAGUAACCUGCCCUUGACUUUGGGAUAACUUCAGGAAACUGGGGCUAAUACCGGAUAGGAGCUCCUGCUGCAUGGUGGGGGUUGGAAAGUUUCGGCGGGUGGGGAUGGACUCGCGGCUUAUCAGCUUGUUGGUGGGGUAGUGGCUUACCAAGGCUUUGACGGGUAGCCGGCCUGAGAGGGUGACCGGCCACAUUGGGACUGAGAGACGGAGCAGACUCCUACGGGAGGCAGCAGUGGGGAAUAUUGCACAAUGGGCGGAAGCCUGAUGCAGCAACGCCGCGGGCGGGAUGACGGCCUUCGGGUUGUAAACCGCUUUCGCCUGUGACGAAGCGUGAGUGACGGUAAUGGGUAAAGAAGCACCGGCUAACUACGUG
rnacentral:rRNA from 1 species